GCUCUCAUGGUGUAGUCGGUUAUCACGUUCGCCUCACACGCGAAAGGUCCCCAGUUCGAACCUGGGUGAGAGCA